UAGAUGCUUUCGGUUACUUUUUUUUUUUUUUAAUAUAUACUUAGGAAAGCACAUUUAAAUAAAAUAGCAUUGCUUUAUAAUAUGAAAAAAUGACCCUGCCCACCCAUCUUUUACCAGUAGUGUUUUUAUACUUCUCACUGUAAACUUGAGAAAUUUAGCUCUGAAUCAGCUUUUUAGGGCUUCUCAGGUUGGGGUGGGGGAAUGUCAUAAGGCCGACUAACCAGAAUCACUGUUCUUUCACUUUUUGGGAGAAACACAGUGAUUGUAUUUAAAAUGAUUUUUUUUUUUAGCUACAAUAAUAAUCAGGCUGUUAUGUAACACUUCAGACCUAAAAUAUCAGCUUUUGUCAGUGACCUGAUGUCUGCUUGUACCUAGCUUCUGAGAGUGAUGAGUACCAUCCCAUGCCUGGAUGUUGUAGUGUUUUCCAUCCCAAGGGAGAGAAUGUCACCCCAGAAAUGGCCCAAUGAAAGCAUUUCCCCCCUCGUCUUUCUGUCUCUCUCGAAAAAAAAAGAAAUUUUCUUUUUUUCUUCAUUCGGAAACAAAGCAAGCCAUAUUCCUUUCCAAAUUACAUGAAUAAAUCACAUUUGCACAAAGGAACGCCUCCCCUCCAAAUGUGUACAUUUUGAUAAGGGUAUACCAGUUAUUCAGUGUUUUUUUUUUAAGAGAGUGAGUGUGUGUGUGUGUAUGUGUAUGUGUGUGUGUGUUUUAACUGUUUUCAGCUCUUCAUUUGGGUUUCUGAGAUUUUCCAAGGUCGUGGAAUAUGGAUCUAAAAAAGUAGAUAAUUGUGGUUUUGAAGCUUGUGUCUUGGACUAGAUGCAGCUAAAUGAAAACAAUGUGCAGAUCACUGAAUAGGUCAGACUGAGGGGACUCGGAACCUUUGAAGCUUUACAGGGUUUGACCUAACAACAACUGCGGGGCCCUUACGGGAAAGUGGAAUUAACUCUGUGAAUGCCAUCAAAAUACAACCCUGGGGGGAAAAAAGAAAAAACUCGAUUGGAGUUGGUUAGAUAAAAUAACUUUCCCAUUCGGAACAUUAUGAGCAGUUAUUUUAUGUCUUAUAUAUGCCUUUAAAAAAAUUCAGAUUUGCCCCAAACUGACUGAACCCCCUAUUCAAGUCAAGUCAAAAGUAAGGUCCGCACAGUUAUGUCAUUUUGACAGAUAACCGGUUUGGCUUAAAUACUAGUUGUUUAAGCUUCAAGUCCUGUUUGGGUGUUUAAAAAGUAAUGUGGCAUGUUGAUAAUUUGCAACUUCAGAUUCUGUUUACUGUUUGAAUAAGCCCUUGUGUUGAAACAGAAAACCAAGUAAUAUAGGGAAUUUAAUAAAUAUUGUCAUUUGUAUGGACUGGAACAAUAACAACCAUGUUUCCUUAAAUUAUCUCUGAUGAAAUGAACUCAACUUCUCCACAUUUUGGAAAUUCUAAAGAAUGGUGUUGCGGAAUUUUUUCCCUGACAUAAGGUUAUGAAAGAUGAUGAUGACUGCUUUACCAGCUGUGGAGAUCAGGAAUUAGAACAGCUUUUUAAAGAAAAAAAAUUUUUCUUUAAAACAGUGAAAUAAAACAACUUUUGUGUAAGCUUAAGUAGACCUAUUGAUUACACACACAGCUUAGUCUUUUGUUUUAAGAGGAGGAGGUACUUAAGAAAACACUCCCACCCUCCAGCACGUUAUGUACACAAAGGCAUACAAUUAGAUGUGCCCAAAAAAGUUUCAUAAAAUUUUCUGACUGCAUUUAGUUUCCCUUUUUGGGCCCACCAUGUGUCUAUUCCAGACAGGCUUGACAAUAUGCCAAAGCUUUUUAUUUUGUGGGCCGACUUUUAAUCUGUUCCAGACCUUUUCACUCAGAGAGCUCAAGUGUAACUGAAGGGGGGCAGGAAACAAAAAAACGUGUGGGUUUCUCUGAUCUAGAGUGACAGCAAAUAGAGACAAGCUGUUAGCUGCUGGAUUUGAAGUUUUCCUUGAAAUCAGAAGUUCUGUAUAGUGGAUUAUGUUUUAUUUCUGCCAAAGGAAUAUAAACUGUUCCCUUAUUUCUGACCCUUUGGGCCAUACAAACACAAACAAAUGGUGUAGGAUGUUGUUUUUAUGGUUGUGGAGUUUGCUUUUCAAUAUUCUUCAAAUCUAUUAAAAUAUUUAUCAAUUCUUAGCUUAAAUUAAGUAGAUGUGUGUCUUUUGGCAUCUUAGAAUGGGAGCUAAGCUCUUUAGAGAAGCUUAAAAAUUUUACCUCCUUCAAACAUUAGCCCCUUUUAUGUUUUUAUUAUCACAUGAUUUCAGAUUAAUUAUAUUUAGAAUGCAGUCAUUUGCUUUAAGAUUAACCAUAUUUAGUAAAUACACUCAUUUGCUGCAUAAUGUUUCAGUCAGUGGCAGACUGCAUGUACAAUUAUGGUCCUGUAUGAUUAUAAUACUGUGUUUUUACUGUACCUUUUCUAUGUUUAGAUACACAAAUACUUAACAUUGUGCUACAGUUGCCUACAGUUUUCGGCACAGUAACAAGCUGUACAGUUUUGUAGUCCAAAAGCAAUAGGCUCUGCCUUACAGCCUAUUUGUGUAGUAGACUGUACCAUCUAGGUUUGUGUAAGUACACUCUAAGAUGUUUGCACAAUGACAGAAUUGUCUAAUGAUCCAUUUCACAAAACUUAUCCUGAUUACUAAGUGACACAUGACUUUAUUUAUAGUAAUUUAUCAGUCCUUAACAUCUCACAUGAAAUUAGUAAGUUAUCUAUGUAAUUUUAGGGAAUCAAAGAGUAAUUUGUUUUGGAUUGGGAUUUUUAUCUGAUAUUUUUGUUGUUCUUUAACAUGUAAAAGCUAUUUCUUUAAUUUACUUUAAUUUUUUAGAGAAUUUACUAGUAAUUUAUAACAAGUCCUGAAGUAGCAUCAAAUGGUAAUAAGGAUAUACUGAUGUUUGUAGAGUUUUAAGAAAAAGAGGACUUUCUGGGUUUUUUUUAAGGGGUCAUAUUAGGAAUUUACCUCUUUGUUCAAGAAAAUGGAUCCUAGAAUAUAAUGCAAGCCAUUAAAUUAUUUCAUAUAAGCACAUAGAUGAUUUUUUUUCCUGGAGAUUUUGAGCUGGCAAACAUGAAGAGUCUCAGGUUUAAACAUUACCUUGUAUAUUGUAGAUCUAUUAUUUUAUAUAACAUAAUCACAGACAUUUUCCAGUAAAAUGCCAAAUGAAAACACAAUGAAAUUAUAAUUGCAGUUCAGAAUGAAAAAAGAUCUUUAAAACACAAGCAGUUGAUGAACCCAUCUUUUAAGUAAUGUUAUUGUCCCUAUUGUUUAUAUAAAAAAAUGUAUUAAAGUCUGUGUUUUAGAAAAAUAAGUGCUGAUGGCACCACUGGGAUAAAAAUAUUUGGUGUAAACAAAAUAUUGGAGCCAGAUAGUUAGAGAAAAAAUUAUACCUUUGAAUUUUAAAGCAAGUAAUAAAUAGUCUAGAGUGACAGAAGCAGAAUAUUUAAUUCCUAACUAUAUCUCUGUGCUCAGAAAUUCUGUGUGUAGAAAUUUCAGAGAUAUUAAACCUCAUAUGUUGAUUUUGGGUCCUUGGUUUCAAGUUUCCCAAAACUUGGCAUCGGUGUAUAUCCAUACACUUUAUGUGUGUGUAUUAUAAUGUCUUGAAAUAAAUAAAAGAAUAGGUAAAAUACAAAUACCUGUAUACAGUUUAUUAAAAUAAGUCUAAAGCCAAAGUUAUUUUUCUCAUCAAAGUUAAAUAUUUUGCAUUAAUAAUUAUCUAUUAAAAAUUUUGAGGUAGUCAUUAACAUUUUUUUUAAGCCAAAUAUCUGUUAGUUGUUAUAAAUAAUGUUUUCCUUUUGAUGAAAGUGCACCUAACAACCAAUUAAAUAACUAAGAAUCCAUCCUAUUAGUGUUGGGGAAAACCACUGAAGCUUCUAGAAACCAAAUUUGUAAUUUCAUUAAUGGAGUCUUGGGUAAAGAGAAUAUCAGCAUCUAAUUGUUUAAAUUUCAUCAAAGCAAGUUUCUUGAUAGCCAUAUGCUAAAAAUAAGGUUUUUUGUUUUGUUUUGUUUGAGGUUUUGGGCUUUUUUCUCCUUACCAGCUUUUUAAAGUCUGUCCUGGUGAUCCUGGGCCGUAUUUGGUUAUGGACUACAUUAAUUACUUAGGGUACAGAGGAAUGGAUGUAUGUUUUAGGUAAAAAGAGCUAUUGCUAACCAAAAAUUAUUAACAGAUGUCCAGGUGCUCAUACCUGUAAUCCCAGCACUUUGGGAAGCCAUGGUGAAUGGAUCACUUGAGGACAGGAGUUUGAGAAAAAAAGCCUGGCCAACACAGGGAAACCCCAUCUCUACUAAAAAUAGAAAAAAGUAGUUGAUAGUGGUGGUGCACAGUUGUAGUCCCAGCUACUCAGCAGGCUGAGGCAUGAGAAUCACUUGAUUCUGGGAGACAGAGGUUGCAGUGAGUAAAGAUCACACCACUGUACUCCAGCCUGGGCAACAGAGUGAGACUCUGUCUCAAAAAAUUAAAAAUAAACGUUAGUAACGUGCUGGACACAGUGGCUCACACUUGUAAUGCCGAGACAGGCAGAUCACUUGAGGUCAGGAGUUCAAGACCAGCCUGGCCAACAUGGUGAAACCCUGUCUCUACUAAAAAUGCAAAAAUUAGCCAGGUCUGGUGGCACAUGCCUCUAAUCCCAGCUAAUCGGAAGGCUGAGACACUGAGAAUCACUUGAACCCAGGAGGUAGAGGCUAUAGUGAACUGAGAUAGCACACUGUACUCCAGCCUGGGAGACAGAACAAAACUCCAUCUCAAAAGCUGAGGCUGAUAAAUCACAAGGUCAGAGAUUGAGAGCAUCCUGGCCAGCAUGGCAAAACCCUGUCUCUACUAAAAUACAAAAAUUAGCAGGCAUGGUGGAGUGUGCCUGUAGUCCCAGCUCUACUCAGGAGGCUGAGGCAGAAGAAUCAUUUGAACCCAGGAGGCGGAGGUUGCAGUGAGCCGAGACCACACCACUGCACUCCAGCCUGGGCAACAGAGCGAGACUCCAUCUCAAGAAGAAAAAAAAAAUCAUUAACUGAUAAAACUCCCAAAAUUUGCCCUCAUCAUGAUUCCUCUCAAAAUUUUUCAGUGGGAAGAAUGCUACUCUUCUGAGCACUGCAGAGCAUUCAGCAUCUCUGGCUUACUAAGUGCCAUAGGACCACACAGCCAUUAUGAUUCCUCUGACCACCAACAAAAUUUUUUUUAAAUGCUGAGAGACAUAGGGAACGUUGUCUAAAUUCUGAGCUCCUCUGAGAUCUAGGGAAAUUCUGCCCAAGGCUAUAUAGUUAAGUGACAAAACUGAAAUUUGAAUUUGUUCUUUUGAUAUCUAGAGUUUGCAAGAAAUUUAGAUUGAAUGUAGUUAAUCUUUCAGAAACACCUACUAUACCAAUACUGAUACAUGGAAAUUUGAGAGGGAGAAAAAUAGUCGUUAAUACACUUGUAUCCUGUAUUGUGACUUGUGUUGAAGAAAUGACCUAAAGAUAAUGAGUUUUUCUUUUUUUCUUUUCUUUCUUUAUUCUUUCUUUUGUUUUUUUUUUUUUUGUUUGUUUGUUUGUUUGUUUGUUUUUGAGACUUGUUGUUUUUUGGGUUUUUGAGACAGAGUCUCACUUUGAUUACCCAGGUUGGAGUGCAGCUGUGACUCAGUCUCUGUUCAGUGCAGCCUCAAUUCCUGAGCUCAAGGAAGCCUCCUGCCUCAGCCUCCUGAGUAGCUGGGACUACAGCAUGUACCACCAUGCCCUGCUAAUUUUUUUGUAUUUUUAGUAGAGAUGGGGUGUUGCCAUGUUGCCCAGGCUAGUCUCAAACCCCUGGGGCUCAAGCAAUCUGCCUGCCUCUGCCUCCCAAAGUGCUCAGGUUACAGGCAUGAGCCCCAGGGCCUGGCCAGGUUUCUAAUUACAUAAGAGAAUUUAAGAUCUCUGAUUGGAACAGACUUUAAAGGCAUCUAGUUGAAUUAUUUAUCCAAUUUAUGCCUCAUGAUUCUCGGCUUUGACCUCUUCCCUUUACUAGCUUACUUCGUUAUAGUAUAGCCCAUUCUACUUAAGGAAAAUUCUAAUGACCACAAAGUUUAUAUUUCUUGAUUACCCAAAAAUUUACUUCCUUUCACAUUUGUGAAUACAGCUCUAAUCCCAGCAGUGUUCUCUUAUAACUGUGGUUUCUCCUGUUUUUCAUGUGUUCAGAGUUCUGUGUUCUUUUAUCGAGACUUCCUCUGGAUUUCCUUCAUUUUGCUAGUGCUUCUUUAAGUGUUACAUUCUGUAGUGUUUCAUAUGUACAUUAUUCUAUGAGAAAAAUAGUUACGGCAUUAUUGCUCUGACCUGGCAUUUACUAUGCUCUCCAAAAAUCUAUUUUUCUACCAGUAGAGGCUAGCCUCUCUUUUCCAAAUGGUAGUUACAAUAACGUACUUGAUUCAACUGAAUUAAAUUGGGAUGUAGAAAAAGUUACCUACUAAGCUGGAAAUCAGGAGACCCAAGUUCUGCUAUCACAAUGUAACCAACUGGAUCAGAAAGAUACUUAACUUCUCUUGACUUAAUUUUACUCAUCUGUAAAAUGCGACUGGAUUAGACUGGAUGCUCUUAAGAAUAUUUCCACUCUUUAACUGAAAACAGUAUGCUUAAUAACUGCUUUGGACCCUUGCUUAAGGUUACUUCUCAAUAGCCUUACUUGAUUUGAUUGCAUUGACGUUUCAGAGAUACUUUUGAACUAUUUAUUGCACCAUUUAAGUUUAACUUUUGGUCCUCUGGUCACAGUGCAGAAUUACUUUUGAAGAGGAGACAGGGAAAUCUUCUAACCUUUAAUCUAAAGAUAAGCCUUAUCACAUGGUGAGUAUGUCCAGGCAAACAAAUUUGAUGGGGGGUGUGGGAAAAGCUGGGCUGAAUAGUUAAGCUUUGUCCACACUCAUACUCUUGAAGGCGUAUGGAAGUUUAAACAUACUCAUGUUAGCAAAGUUCAGCUUUAUUGCCUUAAAGAUGAUGGAUGCCUUGUUGGUACAGUGUUUCCAAAAUGUAAAACACAAAGUUGCCGUGAUACAAAGUCUAGGGUAAGCAGAUAGUUCCAGGCUAUGUGCUUAGCAAAACCUGAUUUGAGACGUACUGAGAUUGUUACUAAUUAUUGCCCUCACCACAUUUUCUUUUUUACUUCAAAAGUAAGCAUUUGCUGAAAUGAAUAUUUUAAUACAUGAGAUUAUAGAAUAGAUUUCAAAAUUAACUCCACACUUGAGCUUUGCAGUUUUAAAGUUUUAUGUUAAAUUUAAUAGCUGAGGCUGGUGGAUCACAAGGUGGAUAUUCUAAAAAGUAAGCACCUUUAGGUGUAUUCCUCUGUCUAGUAGGUCUCAACUCUGUUUUUUAAAUUUAGCUGUGUCUUUUUAAGACGUUUCAUUUUUUUUCUUUCGAAAUAAAUACUUUGGUUAGCUAGGGAAAAUAUCCAGUAAGAUAGUGCCAAAAUAAUGUAUCAGUUACAGUAAGCAGUCUCUCCUGUACUAACCAAGGCUGAGUAUACAUAUGUUAAGGAGGAUAAACUAAUAUCUAAUUUCCACUUGAUCAGUAUUUCAUUGAUGCAAUUAGUUAAUUAUACAGUGAAGAAAUAUUUUUGUCUUUGUCUACAUGUUAUUCAUAGAGGAUUUUUUAAACAUGAAAGUUUAAGACCACCAAAGUCACUGAAAUGAUAAUUUAAACUAGUGGCGUAUUCGUGUUAUUAAACAUGAAUACAAAAAGACCUUACAUAGUUUUUAAAAGAAAACUAUUUUUCAAGUUAUAUUUGUACUAACUCUGUAUCAACAGCUAGCAUCUCAAAUGCUGAAAAAAAGAACAUUUGGUGUUGCUUGCUAUUUUUCAUAGCAACCCAAAGAUUCAGAUAUAAAAAACAAAAGAGAUUAUAGAAUUCUUGGAAAGGUCAAACUUCUAUUGAAAGAGGUUAGAGUGAUUUAGAAGGAGAGUGGUUGAGAUUCUGUUUCGUUUUAUACUCAUUUUUUUCUGCUACCCUAGUUGCUAAGGUCAUUUUAUAACUCAUUUUGGACUUGCUUCAACUUGGAGAUUCUCCUGUGCAUUACUAAUAGCGUCCUCCUAACUAGGGAGAGAAACUAUUUUAGGAUUUAUUUAUUCAACAGAAGUUCAAGUGCCAAUUACAUGCCAGGCACUAUGCUAGCCAUAGGUGGGGAGGAACAAGCUACUAAACAAGUAAAUAAAUCAUUACAGAUGUGUUAAGUACGGUAAAGGGUACUAAACAACAUGGGCUGAAAGGAACAAGGGUGGUGGGAACCUGCUUGCACCUGGGUGGUCAAGGGAAGUUUUUCGAAAAGGCACUGUGAACGAUAGGAAGCUGCCAGUCAAAUUUCAGACUAUUUAAAAGGACCGGUUUUUGUGCUUUUCAGUAAAAAAUCUGAGGUAUGCAUCACUUCUAAAUUAUAAAUUCCCCUCUGUGAAAGAGAUUUACUAGUAAUUAAUGAAAUAAGAAAUAAAGUGUUAUAAUUGACCUGUUUACUCAUUAAUCAAAAAUGAAUUCAUAGUGAAAAGUGUAUUUUAAAAGAUAAUGCCUCUUCUCUCUAUUUUUUUUUUUUUUUUUUUUUAAUUUUUAGAGGUGGAGUGUCACUGUGUUCUCAGGCCGGUCUUGAACACCUGGCCUGAAGCAGCCCUCUUGUCUCUGCCUCCGAAGUAGCUGGUGUUACAGGUGCAAGUCACCACGUCUGGCUGCUUCUCUAUAGUCUCAUUAUCUGAACUUUCUUUUUCUAACUAGACCUUAAACUUUAUUUCCAUAGUUGGGGGUAAAAGUAUAGUUGUGCUCUGGGGACAGAGAGAGCUAAAAGUCAGUUAGAACACAUUCUCCCUUUUCUGCCUAACCUCAUUUAGCAACCUCCUGUGUCCUGUCCUAAACUGCUUAAUGAGGUGAUGAGGAGAAAAUGUUCUGCUGGAUUUCUUUUUUCUUCUCUUUUAGCUCCAUCAUGAUUGUAUUGUUUGAAAAAUACCAUUAUAAUGAAUUUUUAUGCCAGUCUUUUGAUAGAUAGUUGAAGGAGGGGGAAGUCAAAUUGACUUAAAUAUUGAUAUUUGUUUACCAAUAUUUUUGAACAGCUAAAGAUGUGAAAACUUUAAUCUACUUUGGGGAAGCUGGGAGUUGGUGCUGGAGAAAUAUAUUUGGCUGUGUCCCCACCCAAAUCUCAUCUUGAAUUGGUAGUUCUCAUAAUCUUCACAUGUUAGGGGAGGGACCAGGUGGAGAUGAUUGAACCAUGGGGCGGUUUCCCCCAUCCUGUUCUCAUGAUAGUGAGUUAGUUCUCACGAGAUCUGAUGGUUUUAUAAGGGGCUUCCCCCUUUGCUGAGCACUGAUUCUUCUCCUGCCACCAUGUGAAGGAGGACAUGUUUGCUUCCCCUUUUGCAAUGAUCCUGUUUUCUGAGACCUUGCCAGCCAUGCUGAACUGUGAAUCUAUUAAACCUAUUUUUUUUUUAUGAAUUACCCUGUCUUGGGUAUGUCUUUAUUAACAGCUCAAGAACAACUAAUACAAUAAAUUGGUACCAGAAGUGAGGAUACAAGUACAGAGUGUGGGAUGGAAAGGUUACUUAGCCUGUGACAAGACCUCUAGAGAAGGAUGUUAGAACAGCUGAACUGUCCCCACAUACUGAUCAUUACGGAAAUGCAAACCAAAACCAAAAUGAGAUAACACUUCACUCCCAUUAAGAUGGCUAAAAGUUUUUGAAAAGAUAACAAAUAUUGGCCAGAAUGUGGAGAAAUUGGAAUCCUCAUACAUUGCUGUUAGGAUUGAAAAAUGAUACCACCACUUUGGAAAAUAGAAUAGCAGUUUCUCAAAACAUUAACCAUAACAUUCCCAUGUGACGAAGCAAUUUCAUUCCUUGGUGUAGAGGCUGAAUAAUUGGGAACAUAUGUCUACACAAAAACCUGUACCCAGGUUCACAGCAGUAUUAUUUUAUAAUAAAUAGCCAAAAAAUGAAAAUCACCCAAAUAUCCGUUAGUUGAUGACUGGACUAACAAAAUGUGGUAUAAUUGUAUAAUGGAAUAGUAUUUGGCAGUUAAAAGGAAUGCAGUGCUUGAUACAUAUUACAACAUGGAUAAAUCUUGAAAACAUUAUAAAUGAGAAUCGCUGGGCACAAAAGGCCAUAUAUUGCAUUUUUAUGAAAUGUCCAGAAUAGGCAAAGUCAUAGACACAGAAGUAGAUUAGUGGUUAUCAGGGACUGGAAGGAGGGGCAAUAGGUAGUAAACUGCUAAUUAAUACAGAGGUUUUUUGUUUUUGUGUCUUUUUUUUUUUUUCCUUGAGGUGAUUAAAAUGUUCUGAAAUUAGAUAGUGGCAAUGGAUGUACAAUUCUAUGAAUAUAUAGGAACUGCUAGAUUGUACAUAUUACAAGGGUGAAUUAUUUCAGUAAGUAGAAAAAAUUAUCUCUAGGCAUGAUGUUGUCAUUUAGGUCUAUAGCUUAACUGGGAAAUAUCUUUUGUAAUUGAGCAUAAAAAGAUGUAUUCAGUCAUUAGGUUACUACUCUCGUCUUUUCCUUUUUUUGUAAGAGACAGAUUUUCAGAGUGAAUCAAAUAAUAAGCAAUUUUUACUGAAAAACUACAUUUUAUGUUUAAGUAGAUAAAUUAUUAUGCCACCUUUAUAGCAUCUCUCUGUAGAUGAUUCAGUCCCCUUAAGUCAUGCAGUAAACACUUAGAGCCAGCAGUGGGUGUUUUUGUUUUGUUUUUACUGUUUUUAAGACUCACAGAUGGCCAAUUAGUUUGUGUUUUUAGAACAUUAAUUUCUUUUAACACGUCUACUCCUUUAUAUUUUUGAGUAUACUUGUAGGUGUGGGGAAAAUGCAAAUUUUGUUUCUAAAUGUUUUGAACAAAUUAAUAUAGCUAUGCUAAUACAAAACUAUGUAGUUUCUGAGAUUUGAAAAAAAUACUCGACAAAAGCUUUUGUUGUGGGAGCUUUGAUAUUGAUUAAUGUUUUAAUAGCUUAAGAAUUGUUUCUUAUUUUAAAUAUAUACUCAAAAUUACUAGAAUUAAAUUUAUUAUUUCAAAGUUUGACUGAGUAACAGAUCUGUAAUACAUUGUCAUAAUCCAAGUUUUGAGGUUACAAAUCAUGUAAAUCUAAAAAUUGUCUGAAGUUUGGAAAUUCACAUGUUUAGAAUGAAACUUGGGAAAAAACCUAUGAUGAUGACCCCUUUCUUUUAAUUUUGGGAAAGUAGUCCCUUAUUUUUCAGUAAUUGCUCAGUCAUUGGUUUUCUACCGUAAAGCUGUCAAGGCUGAUUUGUUAAGUAAAACUUAAAAUAGUUACUGUUUCGUAGUGCAAAAAGCAGACUCUAAAUUUUAAAGUAUAGCAUAGUAUGAUUUUUAAAAUUCUGACAUUUUCUGGGGUUUUGUUUUAGAAAUUGUAUUAAAAUUGGAAACAUUGGGAUUUCAGUAGUUGAUAGCCAGAGGAAGAAGUUGGAAAUGCUAUUCUUUUCUUUUCUUGCUGCCCUGCCCCCUUUCCCCAGGAAACAAAGCCUGUUUUGUUUCUUGCCUGCUUGUGAGGUCUCUGCUGCACCCCAUGUGGGUGCACCGCUCUGUGCUUUGUUGAAAGGCUUAAGAUACUCAGAAGGUAAAGAACAGGAUGCUUCUGGAGAGGAAUAAAUCCCAGCUUCAGUAGAUAAACAAGAUUGUUUGAAUUGGUCAUUUAAGUGAGCUCUUUAUAUGGAAACCUUGUAGUGCUGCUUGUAUCCAUAGGUAACAGCAUUUAGGUAAACACAACCAGAGGUGCUCACAAUAGUCACCAGAGUAUUUCUCUUACAUAAUUUUGUGCAAGUUUCUAUUUAAUCCUGUGGACUGGUUCUUCCUCCAUCUUUGGAUAUCCUAACUAAUUUUUCCUGUACAAUGGUUCUGAAUAGUCAGAUAAGCUUAGAUUUGAAAGGAAAAAAAACCCUACCAGCCAAUUCAGUUUGCCAUCAGCAUUGGCUGUUGUCAUUAAUGAUUACUGCUUGUGGUAUCUAACUCUCGAAAAGUGGUGAGAAGCAAAGGAUAUUUGCCACUUUAUUUUUGUGCAACGUUAUUGCUAUUUGAUUUUUUUUUUUACCAAGAAUAUAUGUUAUUUCAUAAAUAAUGUUAUGUUACAUAAUGAAAACAGCGUGGAAAGCUCAAAAGCUUAUCCAAAUGUUUCUUAAUAGAUGAAGUAUUUAACAAUGUGUAGCUCUGGAAUCUUUUUGAAAUCAAUCAUAUUUUAUAAUUCCAGUUCUCCUCAACUUAUUAAUGGGCUAUUUUUUAGCAGAUAUUUUUGUUUGUUUGUUUUAUUGCUUGGAACCAAAACCAUUUUUCCCCGUUAGUUGUUUGCUUUGGGCAUCAAUUUCUGACAUGUUCAUUGUAUGUGGUGGAUCUCAGAUCAGUUCCCCAAUUCAUAUUUAAUUCAUGCUAUCAAACAUGGCACAGCACACUGUAUAAAAAUGUCUCUGUGGAAAUAUGUUGAAUGUUAUAUUGAAAUACCAAGAAGAAUGUUUCACCGAAAGAGAAGGAUCCCCUUAUUCCUUCAGCUCAAUCUCCACUACCCCUCUUUUUCCAUUUAGACCUUGUAGGAAAGAUAAACAUGCAUAUCUUUGUGAAUCAUAAGAAUAUUUGGAAACAGUAAAUGGUAUGAUAAAAUAGGAGGAGGGGGAGACAGCAUAUAUGUGCAUGACUGUGUCUAUGUGGUAUGUCUGUGGAGGCAGGGGAAAGAGGUAUAGAAAUCAUCAAGGUAUGGAAUUAGUCUGUAGGAGCUGGAGUCUUUAGGUUUAUAAAGAACUGUUCUGGAGAAGAGAGGAGACUAAGGUUUAUGGAGCACCCACUGUUCCUGGUGUGUGAUAGAAUAAUCAAGUCCUGAUAAUAAUUCAAAGGGAGAUGCCAGUAUCCUUGUUAUGGAUGAGAAAAUUGAGGAUUAAAUGAAUUAGUGAGUUGCUAUGCCCAACUCUAUUCCAAGUUCAUUUGACUCUAAAGGCUAUGUUUUUAAUAUUAUACUAUGAUACCUGUCAUGCUAAUGACAUAUGAGCAGUUUUAUUAAAUAAGAUUGGUGGUGCCUGGCAAAUCUUAGGUCUGAAAAAUUGUUGGCUUUUCCCCUAUUCAUUGUCCUAUAAAAUACUAAACUGUAACCUAUAAGAAUGAAACUUUUACCCAUUUACUUUUUAUAAAGCCGUUUCCUAAGUGUUCAUGAGUUAAUAAGUACAUAUUUUUUUCUCAUAUGAACUUAAUAAGGCUUUGAACAAGAUGGAGCAGUAGUUCAUGUUUUUGACAUUUCUCUCUUCUUCAGACAAAAUAAUAAAACAAGCAAAAAGACACAACUAGGGUAUGAAUAUUUUAGAAAAAUUUCUGUAGGUCAGAAAGUAAAACCACAUGAAGUAUUGAGGGUAGUGCUAAAGGCCUGCCUGGUUUAGGGGCCAUUUGGAUCCUGAGAAGAACUGUUAAUUAAAAAAAAAAAAGUGUUAAUAAGGAAGAGGACACAUAAAAUAGGCUCAAUGGGAAAAGCCAGGCGGGCAGCUGACCUGGCCCUGGCCCUGGCCCUAGGACAAACAGCUUACAAGGAUUGACCACAUAACAAGUCAAAAAGUCACAAAUUUUCUAGAAUCAAUAUUAUAUAGACUAUUUUUUAAACUACCAUGCAAUUAAGCUUAAACCCAUAAUAAAAAAGUUAGUUUAAAAAACAUAGCUUGCCCUACCAGCUAUUAAAACAUAUCACUAAGGUUGUACUGUUGUACAUAUUGUACAUACUAAAUAAUGUGUGUUUAUAUGCAUAUAUGAUUUACAUGUUUAUAUAGUAUAAACAUAAAGGCAGCACUGUGGUAUUAGUAUAAGAAUAGUUAGAUUAAUAAAAUAGAAAAUCUGGAAAUGUCCAAAUUUAGGCUGUGAUAAAGAUGACAAGAGGAAAGAUACACUACAACACACGUGGUGUUGGGACUAAUGGCCAUAUGGAAGAAGAUAAAAUUAGACCCAUUCAUGUCAUACACCAGAAUACAUCGUAGUGGAUCAGACUGAGUUGCCAAGUAAAUGAGAACUGUAGUUUUUUAAUUAAAAUGGGUGAAUUUCUCUGUAAUCUGAAAGUGAGGAAAAUAUAAUUUAAAUUUAAAUUUUUACAAAGAUUGGUAAAUUUGCCUAAAAAUACGCCCCAACACUUACCUUUUUCUUUGGAGACAAGAGUCUUCCACUUAUCGCCCAGGCUAAAGUGCAGUGGCGCAAUCUCAGUUUACUGCAACCUCCACCUCCCGGCUUCAAGUGAUUAUCCUGCCUCAGCCUCCCAAGUAGCUGGGAUUACAGGUGCCUGCCACCAAACCCAGCUAAUUUUUAUAUUUUUAGUAGAGAUAGUGUUUUACCAUGUUGGCUGGUCUUGAACUCCUGACCUCAGGCGAUCCACCUGCCUUGGCCUCCCAGAGUGCUGGGAUUACAGGCAUGAGCCACUGCGCCCGGCUAAGAAUAAGCUCUUAAGAAAACAAGCAAAAUAAAAAGAUGACAAACUGAGGAAAAUUAUUUUUAACUUAUAUCACAGACACAGAUUUCUUAUCCUUAGUGCAUAGAUUGUCUAAGACGUAGCAAAAAAUAAAUCAUACUGAGAUAUUAUUUCUCAUCUUUUAGAUUGGCAGAACUCAAAAUUGGCAAGGCUUUGGGGGCAAAAAAAGCACUCUUACAUUACUAGUGAGGCUACAUCACAAUACAACUCCUGGGUUGAGGCAGUGGUGCAAAUUUGGUGAUAUCUAGCAAAAUCAUUUAUGCUUUUAAUGUUCAACUAAGCAAUCUCUCAUGCAGAAUUAUACCCAAAGAUACAGUAGCAGAGGUCGGGCGCGGUGGCUCACACCUGUAAUCUCAGCACUUUGGGAGGCUGAAGUGGGUGGAUCACCUGAGGUCAGGAGUUGGAGACCAGCCUGGCCAACAUGAUAAACCCUUUCUCUUCUAAAAAAUACAAAAAUUAGCUGGUGUAGUGGUGUGCGCCUGUAGUCCCAGCUACUAAGGUGGCUAAGGCAGGAGAAUCACUUGAACCUGGGAGGUGGAGGUUGCAGUGAGCCAGAGAUUGCGCCACUGCACUCUACCCUGGUGACAGAGUGAGACUCCAUCUCAAAAAAAAAAAAAAAGCGCUAUAGUAGCAGAAAUACAAAAUUAUGUAUGAGCAUGUUCUACACCGUACUUUUUACUACUAAUAAUGAAACACGAAUAGGAAAUUGGUUGAGUAGAAUAUUAACUAGCGAUGUCAACAUGAAAAUGAGGGAAAAAUCUCUAAUUACUGCUUUCAAGUUAUUUCAGGUUAUAUUGUUGCAUAGAAAAAAGCAAAGUGGAAGGAAUUAUCCGUGGUAUGCUAGCAUAUAUCAAAGAAGAAGGGAUGUGUAUAUGUUUGCUUGCAUUUUUAAGAAUAGACUAAAGGAAACACUGAUACAGUCAACUGUUACCUAUUGGAGGUAGGAGGAAGCGGAUGGGAAAUAAAGCAAGUCUCUGAAAUUCAAAAGCAGAAUGUCACAAGUGCACCUGUGUAUUGAGAUGGUUGGCUGAUGAUAGAAAAAUAAUUUCAGGUGACUUUAAAGCACGGUGAUUUUACUUUAUGUACUUAAUGGAAUAUCUUAAGAUAAAAUUGCAAAGAAGUCUGAAACUUGAAUCAUUUUGGUGAUCAUUAUAUGUUAUUUUAGAUGAUUGCAUAUGUAUGGAGGACAGUAUGUAUUAAUGUUGUUAGAACCCAGUUAUAAAAUCAAAGUAAAAACCUUGAAUCCUAAAUCUGAAUUAAAAAUACACAUUUUCUGAAGGAGAGUACCACCUAGAAACAGUUACAAUAAAAACAACAAAAUAAUAAUGGGUACCCCUAGUACCCAGAAUAAUGUCUCUAAAUACCAUUUCCCACUCAAAUCAGGGCUUCUUCAACAAAGGCUGACUAAAAUUUGGGGCAGGGAGUAUAUUAGAUGACUUUGGAACAUCAUUUUAUAAAAGCAAACAAAGAAGCAGGCCAAGCCUGUUGUAGGCAUAGCAUAAGGACCCAACUUGAAGGGCUUACCCUGGCACAAUGUGGCACACUUGGAGCAUUGAUCAGAAUAACUGUGUGGAGUUGAAACACAUCAUAAACGUAUUUAAAAAUCUGUGAUUUCAUAAUGAUUUUUUCCUUUUACACCAGGUAGCAGAAUAUCAAAGUGAUUUUUUAAAAAACCCUUAUUGGCUACCUUUGGGAGGAUUCUGUGGUACCAACUCAUCAUCCUGAAAAUAUACAUAAAAAGGGAAUGAAUCAGACAUUUAUUCUGUGCCUUACCUGUACAAAUUAUGUUUCAGGUCAAUCAAAUGCUUAAUAUGGGAAAAAUCUUAUUUUUAAAACUUCAAAUAAUAGGAAGGAAUGAUAUCAUUAUUUUGUAACCUCUAAUGAAAUAAUGGGUUUAGGUGGAAAAAAAAAAAUCAAUGGUUACUAAAAACCCCUGGUGAAAGUAACUUUUAAAAUGGAUGCAAUAGGUUUGCCACAUCUGCGCCACUGAUUCAUCUUUAUUAAGACAGUUAUCUUGUGCCUUCUCUCUUCAUGCAGUGCCACCAGUAAAGUAUUCUUGCCAAAAAUUGUGAUCAGGCCUCUAUAUCAAACUUGUUUACAGCAAAUCAAGAAAUGGAAAAGCAUGCUACAUAGUACUAUGGGGUGUGGAAAAUUUCAUGGGGCAAAUGACACAGUUUCUUUGACCAAUAAAUGCCAAAGAAAAAACAAAGGAGGAACCUAUGUAUUAAAACAGUGGUCCUCAGAGCGCUGGCAUGAAUCAAAAAGUCACUGGGAGGGCUUGUCAAAACACAAGAUUACUGGCUUUAUCCUGUAGUUUCUCAUUCCUUAGCCCUGGGUUAGGGCCCAUGAAUUUACAUUUCUAAGAAGUUGCUAGGUACUCCUGAUGAUCCAGAAACCACAGAACCAUGUUAUUAAAGAAGUCUUGGAUUAUGAAUGAAAUAUAAUGUAUGGACCUUGUUUGGAUUCUGUUUUGAACAAGCCAAUUGUAAAAAUAAUAAUUCUCUUGAUAGGAAAAUAUAGACAUGCGAUGGACUUUUGAUAAUAUUAAGGAAUUGGUAAAUUUUGAUAGUGUAAUCAUGGUAUUGUAAUUAUAUUUUUCUUUUUUUAAAGGAGGCCCCACCUUUUUAGAAAUACAUACUGAAAUUAUGGGUAAAUGCUAUAUUGUUUGCUUGAAAAUAAUUGGAGCUGAAAAGUAGUUGAGGAUAGAGGUAAAGAAUGAUUGGCCAUGUAUUGAUGAUGGGGAAGAAAGUGAUGAGUACACAAGGAUUCAUUAUAUGUAUUAAUUUUUCUGCUUUUCUGUGUUUACAGAAAUUAUCUUUAAAAUUUAAAAUACAUAUUUGGAAACAUAAAAAUAUAUUCCUAAAUAGCACAUGAGUUUAAGUCAUCAUAGAAAUUAUACAUUUUUGGAAUAAAAGAGUCAUGAACUAUACUAUUUCAAAACGUGUGGCAUGCAGGUGAAGCAGGACUUAAAGGUAAAUUUAUUGACUUAAGUCUUCCAAGAAAUAUUUAAAUGAAGUAAGUUCAACUCAAAAGUUAGAGGAUGAAAUACAGAAAAGCUGGAGGGAAAAAGUAAGAGCAGAAAAAAUAGAAAUAAGUUAAUGCAGUCAUCUUAUAUUCACAGGUAGCUGAGAAGAUUGGAUUGAACUAAGGCAUUGUUAGAGAGAUUGGUGUAUAAUUUUCCUCUCUCUAAUAUCCUUGGUUCUGUUUCAGUGCUGUGCUAGCCUGAUAGAAGAAUUGGGCAGUCUUGAGCCAGGUGUGGUGCUUGCCUGCAGUUUCAGCUACUUGAGAGACUGAGACAGUAGGAUCAUGUGAAGCUUGGAGUUUGAGACCAGUCUGGGCAACAUAGUAAGACAGGGAUUUAAAAAAAAAAAAAAAAAGAAGUAAUCUAAAGGGAAAUUAAUAGUAGGACUUCUCUAUUGUCUUUUAUCUUAAAUAGUUAAUUUUCUGCCUCAGUGAGGAACUACUCAGCGUAUGUAGAAAUGGUUUGUUAUUUUUUCAGCAUACACUUAGUGCCAGAUGCUGUGUUAGGCAUUGAGAACAUGUAGAUGACUAGGAUACAUCCCCUACUCCUGUGGCAGUCAGUCUGAGGGAGCAUAUACUUUUGUAAACAAAAAAUUAGAGCUGUCUCUGUUGCCAUGACCCGCAAUAACCAGCGUGAGCUCGCCCACCAGAAGAAUAGGAAAAAGCAGAGCAACUAGGUUAAGGGACGGCACCGAGAUGACGGGCUUUUUGUUGCCACCGGCAAGCAGAGUGCCCCAUCAUCUCUACCGCCAGGGUCGGAGAUCGUGCAGCAGAAGCGAAGAAGGCAAACAAGAAGGAGAAACCCAACUAGCUUUGUGGCUGCAUGUGCAGCCCUCUUGCACUUCGCCUGUGUGCCUAGAACCAGUCCCACCACGCUCGCGUUUACUACUGUAGUGCUCACAGGUCCUAGCGCCGAUGGCAUUCCCUUUGCCCUGAGUCUGCAGCGGGUCUCUUUUGUGCCUCCUUCCCCUCAGGUAGCCUCUCUUCCCCUGGGCCGCUCCUUCCCAGUGUUUUUUUAUUUCUGUGGGGCUCACCCCAGAGUAUUUAAAGUAGUUUUGUUAAAAAAAAAAAAAAAAGUUAGAAUCAGGCAAGAAAUGUUAGUAGACAAUAUGGAAGAGUUCCUAGGCAAUUCCUUGAGAGAAGAAAACGUUUAAUGUAUAGGAUGGACUCGGCCUCGUGAUGUUUUUGCUCAAGUAGUCUCCAAGAAGAAAUGGUAUUUACCAAGCAGCCAGUCUGUUGUAACGGGACACAUUAAAAGUCAAGAGGAGUUUGCUGUGUGACUGGGAGACCAUUAAGUUAUAAGAGCUGUCAGUGUAUGUUAUUUAGGAUUUUUGUAGCAAGGUUUAUUUGAGAGAUUGGCCUGUAAUUUUCCUUUCUUUUAAUAUCCUUGUAUGGUAUCAAGGUUAUGCUGGCCUUAUAAGUGUUGGAAAAUAUUCCUUCCUUGUUAUGCUCUGGAAGAGGUUGUGUAAGAUUGGUAUUCUUUCUUCCUUGAAUGACUGCAAAGCCAUUGGGAUGUGGGGUUUUCUUUAGUCAGUGUGUACUAAACAUUUAGUAGAAACAGUGACCCAAAAUUUCAACUUAAGUUGAAUAUGUGUCUGAAAAGUUUUAUUCUUCUUACUAACAUUUUCACAUAAAACUUCACUCUGCUCACUGAGGUUGAUCCACAGUUUGAUCAAUGUUUUAUCAGUGACAGAAAUACAGUAGUAUAAAAACUUGAGUCCAUUUCUAACCACUAAAUCAUAUAUUACAGCUUCAAAAAACAAUUUUUUUUCUUUUGAGUACCUAGGCUGUAUGCUGGGGGUACUGUGGUGUCAAAUGAGACAAAUCUGUGUCAUCCAAAUACUUGUGGACUCAAUUUGAUACAAACAAGCAUCAGAUCAUUUUAAUCUACUGGGUUUAUUGGGAUGUGUGUGUGAAUAUAUUAUUAAGGCCUGAUUAUUUUGAUGGGCUUUCCUGUUCAGAAUGCUUUGUCUUAGUUGCUUUUGUGAAUGAAUUUUUAAUUAAAUUUAUAUAUUUCAUAAGAAGUAAUAUAUUUGCAUCAUUCACACUUCAGAAGUUAUAAAUAAGGAUCUCCAACUUUGUCCUUUAGUCACCUAGUUUCCCAUCUGUGGAGCUAAAAUAUGUUAGUUGCUUCUUAGCUAUUCAUUAGUUUUUAUAUCCUCUGAAUAUGCAAUAUAUAUUCAUCACCUUUGUCCCCCCCCUUUUUUUUAACCUUUGUCUUCUGCACUUUGCUUUUAAUUUAAUAAGUCCUUAGAAACCGUUCUUUAUCCUUGCAUGUUAAAACUAUCUUGUUUUCUCUUAUGACUUCCUUGUAUCUUGUGAGAACAGUAAUUUUAAGUUAAUUGUGGUAUUGAUGGAUUUUUAGGUUAUUUCCAGUCUUCCUGCCCAAAACAGCUACAUUGAAUAUCCCAAAUUGCUUUUGAAUAAUUAAAUCAUCAUUUUGUCUUCCUUUGCUAGCUUUUUGGGACAGAUUUUUUUUUUCU